AGUUUUGAGCUAAAUAUAUUUUAAAUAUUAGUUAUUUUAUGAAGGUGUUGUAAAACCUUAUUUAAAAAUAUAUUUAGGGGUGAUAGGCUUUUCAAAAACUAAGAUAUCUUGAAUCUAAUUAAAAGUAUAUAGUACAUUAAACACAACUAUUAAGUGAUUAGGCUUUAUAGAAUUAUUAACUUAUAAGAUUUUAUUUACUAUAAUUUAAUAUUUAAGUUCAUAAAUAUAUUAAUAUUCAUAUAUUUUAGUUUAUAAUAGAGUAAUUUGAUAGAUUUAAGUUUUUAUUUCUUAUAAUAAUGUUAAUAUUAGUAUUAAGUUUAUAUUUAUAUGAUGAACUCGGCAAAAAUAUUUCUCAACUGUUUAUCAAAAACAUAACUAUGUGAAUGAAUACAUAGCGGUUUCUGCUCAA
rnacentral:rRNA from 1 species